rnacentral:misc_RNA from 1 species
GUAGGUGAACCUGCGGAAGGAUCAUUACAGAAUAAACAACUAGGCUGUUGCUGGCUCCUCGGGGCACCGUGCACGCUUGGUAAAUGUUUUUCUUGACCACCUGUGCACCUUUUGUAGACUCUGAAAACGAAUUGUUAUCGAGGCAACUCGGUGUUUGAGGACUGCGAUGCGAGAGCUUGCUUUCCUUUAGAUGUUUUCUGGUCUAUGUAUUCUUUAUUAUACACCUUAACAGUAACAGAAUAUAUAUAUUGGCCUUUGUGCCUCUAAUUAAAAUACAACUUUCAACAACGGAUCUCUUGGCUCUC